GGGGUGGUGGUGCAGUUGGCUAGCGCGUAGGUCUCAUAAUCCUGAGGUCGAGAGUUCAAGCCUCUCUCACCCCA
rnacentral:tRNA from 1 species